rnacentral:lncRNA from 1 species
AACGCCGAGAAUUAUUUUUUAGUGCAUCUCAGGAUUUUUUGUGUAUUUUUCUAGAGAAGUUCAUUUGAAGUUGGCAACGUCGAAUCAGCCCUAUGUUAACAAUGUAAAAGCAACGUGAAACACCCAAACUUCAACCUCAAAUAUCUUUGACAGUCGCGAAAAGUUGCAAGAUCUUUUAGGUAGAGUUGAAGUUGGACGUCUGAGGAUUAGGAAAAUGUCAAACACCCAGAAAAUUUUGCGUUUCAAGCGAGAAAUCUUCAUUUGAAGUUUUCGUCUUUGUCCUGUGUAUUUCUAAUGGACCAGCGAUUCUCGACCCAUUUCCCGCCCACAUUCUACCCAAAUCUGAAGUAGUUUUGAGCGAAAAAUUUGAAAAUAAACCAUCAUUGUGAGACAGAAAUAUCUUUAUGAUGACAAACUCCAAAAGAAAAAUUCAGAUAUCGAGUUGUGAAUUUUUGGAUUUUUGUCCACAGAGGGCCGCACUGUGCGGCGACCCAGGACGGGACAAGUAUCGAAGUUCGAUGGAUCGCGGCCGAAUUGUGGCCGCAGCCAGCUCUUCCAACUUAAACCCUAUUUGGCAAUACCGAGGAGAACAACGAACAUUAAAAGCCAAGAAGGGUGAGGACCUUCAAGUUACAAAUUUAGUAAUUAAGAAACUUUAUAGGAAAAUAAUACCUACAAGAGGGACACACAAAAAUAAACACUAUGUACAUAAAUAAACAAGAAAGGCUUCCAAACUUUAAAAUGUAAAUUAGGCCUUCCGGCUACAUUCUGUCAAAUAUCGACGGUGAAACUACACCAAACCACGUAUCUCGGUUUGCGACGUCGCAGACUUCCUGUCAUACUUUAUUUUUUAAAUGAAAAACUACUUAACGUCCAGUCUUGAAAAUUUCCGUGAUUUUUCCUCUUCGUGCGGAGAAAAUUCUGGGAAAAUUUCAAGGAAUUAUAUUGAUUUGGUCUACUUCAAAAAAAUAAAAUGCGAGCGUAGAUUUUUAAACACCGCAAACGAGAUACGUGGUUUGGUAGUUUCACCGUCGAUAUAGUUCCACCCUGUAUAAACCGCUUUGUUCAAAAAAAAAGAAAAAUAAAUUUUGUUUGAGGUUAUGUUCUAUUUGAGCCAAACGAUAAAUCGAACUACUAUCGAAUACGC